UACGUAGGGGGCAAGCGUUGUCCGGAUUUAUUGGGCGUAAAGAGCGUGUAGGCGGCCAGGUAGGUCUGCUGUGAAAACUCGAGGCUUAACCUCGAGCUGUCGGCGGAAACCAUCUGGCUAGAGUCCGGAAGAGGAGAAUGGAAUUCCCGGUGUAGCGGUGAAAUCGCAGAUAUCGGGAAGAACACCCGUGGCGAAGGCGGUUCUCUGGGACGGUACUGACGCUGAGACGACGAAAGCG
rnacentral:rRNA from 1 species